rnacentral:rRNA from 1 species
UGGCGGACGGGUGAGUAACGCGUGAGUAACCUGCCCUUAGGAAAGGGAUAGCGUCUGGAAACGGACGGUAAUACCAUAUAAAGUAUAUUAACGGCAUCGUAGAUAUACCAAAGCUGAGGCGCCUAAGGAUGGACUCGCGUCUGAUUAGAUAGUUGGUGGGGUAACGGCCUACCAAGUCGACGAUCAGUAGCCGGACUGAGAGGUUGAAUGGCCACAUUGGGACUGAGACACGGCCCAGACUCCUACGGGAGGCAGCAG